AGAGUUUGAUCCUGGCUCAGGAUGAACGCUAGCGGUUUGCCUAACACAUGCAAGUUGCACGGCGCCAUGCCUCUCGAGGAAUGGCGGAGUGGCGGACGGGUGAGGAACGCGUAAGGACCUGCCCCUGGGAGGGGGAUAACAGCUGGAAACGGCUGCUAAUACCCCAUAUCCUGAGGAGGGAAAGGAGAGAUCCGCCCAGGGAGGGGCUUGCGUCUGAUUAGCUAGUUGGGGGGGUAAUGGCCUCCCAAGGCAACGAUCAGUUGCUGGUCUGAGAGGAUGAUCAGCCACACUGGGACUGAGACACGGCCCAGACUCCUACGGGAGGCAGCAGUGAGGAAUCUUCCGCAAUGGGCGAAAGCCUGACGGGGCAAUGCCGCGUGGAGGAUGAAGGCCCAAUGGGUCGUAAACUUCUUUAGAUCAGAGACGAAGAGAUGACGGUACCUGAAGAACUAAGCAUCGGCUAAACCCCGUGCCAGCAGCCGCGGUAAGACGGGGGAUGCGAGCGUUAUCCGGAAUGAUUGGGCGUAAAGGGUCCGCAGGUGGCCCGGUCAGUCCGCUGUCAAAACCUGGGGCUCAACCCUGGACAGGCGGCGGAGACCACCGGGCUUGAGUCCGGUAGGGGCAGAGGGAAUUCCCGGUGGAGCGGUGAAAUGCGUAGAGAUCGGGAAGAACGCCAAGGGCGAAGGCACUCUGCUAGGCCUGAUUUCGCGACUGACACUCAGGGACGAGAGCCAGGGGAGCGAAUGGGAUUAGAUACCCCAGUAGUCCUGGCCGUAAACGAUGGAUACCAAGUCCUGCGCGUAUCGACCCGGGCAGGGCUGUAGCUAACGCAUGAAGCGAAUGCCUGGUAG
rnacentral:rRNA from 1 species